UACGUAGGGGGCAAGCGUUGUCCGGAAUCAUUGGGCGUAAAGAGCGUGUAGGCGGCCUGAUAAGUCGGUUGUGAAAGUCAAAGGCUCAACCUUUGAAUGCCGCUGGAAACUGUCUGGCUAGAGUCCGGGAGGGGCGAGUGGAAUUCCUGGUGUAGCGGUGAAAUGCGCAGAUAUCAGGAGGGAACACCAAUGGCGAAGGCAGCUCGCUGGAACGGUACUGACGCUGAGGCGCGAAAAGCGUGGGGAGCGAACAGG
rnacentral:rRNA from 1 species